GAUGAACGCUAGCGGCAGGCCUAACACAUGCAAGUCGAGGGGUAGAGGAAGCUUGCUUCCUUGAGACCGGCGCACGGGUGCGUAACGCGUAUGCAAUCUACCUUAUACAGAGGGAUAGCCCAGAGAAAUUUGGAUUAAUACCUCAUAGUAUUAUGAAAUCGCAUGGUUUUAUAAUUAAAGUUCCAACGGUAUAAGGUGAGCAUGUGUCCCAUUAGUUAGUUGGUAAGGUAACGGCUUACCAAGACAAUGAUGGGUAGGGGUCCUGAGAGGGAGAUCCCCCACACUGGUACUGAGACACGAACCAGACUCCUACGGGAGGCAGCAGUGAGGAAUAUUGGUCAAUGGACGCAAGUCUGAACCAGCCAUGCCGCGUUCAGGAUGACGGUCCUAUGGAUUGUAAACUGCUUUUAUACAGGAAGAAACACUCCCUCGUGAGGGAACUUGACGGUACUGUAGGAAUAAGGAUCGGCUAACUCCGUGCCAGCAGCCGCCGUAAGAC
rnacentral:rRNA from 1 species